AAAAACGCACUGCCAAUUCGCCGAAAGUGUGGUGUUCCGGUGGUCACCAGGAAGUCUCCAGGUUUGCAGCACGUCGCGUCCCCGGUGGGGUGAUUUAUGGGAGUUUUCGUUUUUGGCUUUUUCUCAAGUGGGGUGACCCAUCUUCAAGUGAAAUCCUUGCAAAUUGCGAAAAAGAAAAAUCAAUCUAAAAUCUACUUUUAUCCUAGUUGUGAGAAAAAA